CGUUGCCUACGGGGCGUAGCAGUGAGGAAUAUUGGUCAAUGGGCGGAAGCCUGAACCAGCCAAGUCGCGUGAGGGAAGAAGGCCCUGCGGGUCGCAGACCUCUUUGGACGGGGAGCAAGGCCGCCGACGUGUCGGCGGAAGGAGAGUACCCGUAGAACAAGCAUCGGCUAACUCCGUGCCAGCAGCCGCGGUAAUACGGAGGAUGCGAGCGUUAUCCGGAUUUAUUGGGUUUAAAGUGUGCGCAGGCGGCACGGCAAG
rnacentral:rRNA from 1 species